UUGCGAAGAGCAGUUUUUCGGCGCCAUGAAAUGGCUUGCCACGAUGUUCAGGCACGGGGCGUGUAGUUGCAGUACGUACGAGUCGCGUUUUAACUUUAUUCUGUGUGUGUGUGUGUGAACUUUACCUGGACAAUCAUGGAGCUGUGUACCAGGAACUGCGUCGCCUGGAAUUCAUCGAGGACCACUGCGAGCUUCGUCGUCGGCAUCAAUUGGUAAGCCACAAUUGAUGGCAGGCCGGCGAGGUGUGGGGCGUUUUCACCGAACGUCACUCGCUAUAGUUUCCUAGCUCAACCGAGGUUAAAGGUUGCGUGGAACUUUAGCGAGCGGGUUCCUUGAAAACUGCUGCCACUUCGGGUCCAACUCCCCGUGACACAGGCACGCGUACUACAGCUUUCAGGCUUAGCUUACGGUUAGGUAGGUAGGUAGCUUGUGAGGGGUUGUGUUCACGGGCGGACUCGACACCGGGAUGCUCGUGGCGCUCCUGCGGCCGUCAUUUCGUGCCAGACUUCUGGUGCGUAAUGCGGUUUUCGCGGGCCGCAAAGCGGCGUCCCGGUGUAAUUGCCUCGUCGGCUUGUCCCCACACUUCAAGCAACUGGCAACGUUUGAACUUCAAGUCUGCACAACGCAACGCGUCGCGUCGGGGACCUGCUACGGGCGGAGCACAGCUUCAACUUGGCUGCUAGACCAUGGACCAGCCGUGGCUUCGCGCUCAAGCGUUAUUCGAGCGCUGACGUACUGACACGCCCCGUGCCACACCGGCGUAUCUUCCGCACUAUAUCGCCGACGAGUCUUGAUGGCGGACGUGCUCCCGGCAUUGGAUCGAGAGUGCCGACUGUCUUCACACGCCCCCUAUGCCACAACGGCAGAUCUUCCUGGUGGAUAUCCUACCGGCACUACCUCAA